rnacentral:rRNA from 1 species
UACAGAGGUCCCGAGCGUUGUUCGGAUUCAUUGGGCGUAAAGGGUGCGUAGGCGGUUUUCUAAGUUUGAUGUGAAAUCCCGGGGCUUAACCCUGGAAUGGCAUUGAAUACUGGGAGACUAGAGAUCUGGAGAGGAAACUGGAAUUUACGGUGUAGCAGUGAAAUGCGUAGAGAUCGUAAGGAAGACCAGUGGCGAAGGCGAGUUUCUGGACAGAUACUGACGCUGAGGCACGAAGGCCAGGGGAGCAAACGGG